rnacentral:rRNA from 1 species
AGCUUCAAUAGUGUAUAUUAAAGUUGUUGCGGUUAAAAAGCUCGUAGUUGGAUAUCUGCCAAGGUUGACUGGUCCACCCUUUGGGUGAGUAUCUGGCCCGACCGAAGCAUAUGCUUGGAGAGCGUGGCUACACUUGACUGUGUGGUGCGAUGUUCAAGACUUUUACUUUGAGGAAAUUGGAGUGUUUCAGGCAGGCUCGUGCCUUGCACAUAUUAGCAUGGAAUAAACACAUAGGGCCUCGGUUCUAUGAUGUUGGUUUCUAGAGCUGGGGUAAUGGUGGAAAGGGAUACUUGGGGGCAUACGGAUUCAACUGUCAGAGGUGAAAUUCUUGGAUUUGUUGAAGACGGUCUACUGUGAAAGCAUUUGCCAAUAAUGUUUUCA